UGUUACUUUUAUGGAUGCUUGAUUCCAACUUCCCUUUCUUUACAUGGCCCUGUUGUCCAUUUCAGGCCUGGAUGGAGUUCUUGGAGGCAGUUAAGCUAACAGUGGGUGCACAAGACUUUUCUUCUUCCAUCAUAAUUGCCACAUCUCAGGACCACGUCCUCUCCCAGCAUUUGCAGUAUUUGAGCAGAUCUUUAGAGCUCUGUCGGAUAAGCUCUGCGGGCGCUGGAGUCUGCAGUACGGGCUCUCCGCAUGCCUUCUGCGGUUUUGCUUCUCGCAAGCAGGUUGUUUCUGCACCGUCUGUGUCCUUUAGGAAAGCCCGUUUCGUUUAGGUGAGAAAAGCAUUGACUUCCUGGCAAAAUGUUCCCAGGAAGAACUCGGCCCCUGGAAGUUUUAUAAUUUUAGCAUUUAUAUUUAGGUCUAUUAUCCGUUUUUUUAAAAAAAGUUAAUUUUUGCUUCAGCAUGAGAUGAAGGUCUUAGGUUUUUUUAUUCUUUUAUUUCUUUAGAUAUCCAAUUAUCUCAAACACCAUUUGUUGAAAAGACAAUGAUUCCACAUUGAAUCACCUUGGAACUGUUAUUAAAAAUCAAUUGACCUUGAAUGUAGAGUGCAUUUCUGGACUCUUCUGUUUCUUAGUCUCUAAGUCUAUCCUUAUGUUGAUGUCAUCCUGUCUUGAUAAUUGUAGCUUUAUAGGAAGUUUUAAUAUUGGGUAGUGUGGUAGGCUGAAAAAUGGUCCUCCAGUGUGGGGAUUCACAGUGCCUGUGCAGACAAAAACUAACUUGUAUACGCCUCCCUGGAUGGGACUAAUUGCAAAACAAAGGAGGAGUGCCCGGAACGCUGGGCCUCCUCUGAAGUUUCUUGGCUGAACGGCUGGAUUCUUACUGCGGCUCAAGGGUCUCAUCCAGGGAGUAAACGCAGGUACCUGUAGUGGUCACGUACUUCACCAACUCCUUGUUUGCAUGUGGUGUGUUAAUUAAACUCACAAUAAAAGCAGAGACAGAGCUUGGCUCA
rnacentral:lncRNA from 1 species